rnacentral:rRNA from 1 species
GCGGGCUUUGCCUGCCAUCUCUUACCCAUGUCUUUUGAGUACCUUCGUUUCCUCGGCGGGUUCGCCCGCCGAUUGGACAAAACUUAAACCCUUUGUAAUUGAAAUCAGCGUCUGAAAAAAACAUAAUAGUUACAACUUUCAACAACGGAUCUCUUGGUUCUGGCAUCGAUGAAGAACGCAGCGAAAUGCGAUAAGUAGUGUGAAUUGCAGAAUUCAGUGAAUCAUCGAAUCUUUGAACGCACAUUGCGCCCCUUGGUAUUCCAUGGGGCAUGCCUGUUCGAGCGUCAUUUGUACCUUCAAGCUUUGCUUGGUGUUGGGUGUUUGUCUCGCCUCUGCGCGCAGACUCGCCUCAAAACGAUUGGCAGCCGGCGUAUUGAUUUCGGAGCGCAGUACAUCUCGCGCUUUGCACUCACAACGACGACGUCCAAAAAGUACAUUUUUACACUCUUGACCUCGGAUCAGGUAGGGAUACCCGCUGAACUUAAGCAUAUCAAUAA